AAAUAUUGUAGUUUUGUAUUGUUUAUUUCCAACAUUUGACUAUCUAUUUUAUUUAAAAAAUUUUGACGAUUAGUAUCUUUGUUGUUAUUAGAUGAUAAAAGAUGAAUAAUACUUUAUGUGUGACUAUUUUUUAUUUUUUUCAUAAAAUUAUUAAAUAAGACGGAUGGUUACCGUUGAACACGAAAACGUAUAACUACACUUAAA
rfam:Oryza barthii chromosome 6, whole genome shotgun sequence.